UGUUGCAGUUAAAAAGCUCGUAGUUGAACCUUGGGUCUGGCUGGUCGGUCCGCCUCACCGCGAGUACUGAUCCGGCUGGACCUUUCCUUCUGGGGAACCUCAUGGCCUUCACUGGCUGUGGGGGGAACCAGGACUUUUACUGUGAAAAAAUUAGAGUGUUCAAAGCAGGCUCGACGCCGGAAUAUAUUAGCAUGGAAUAAUAAAAUAGGACGUGCGGUUCUAUUUUGUUGGUUUUUGGAAUCGCCGUAAUGAUUAAUAGGGACAGUCGGGGGCAUUAGUACUCACAUGCUAGAGGUGAAAUUCUUGGAUUUUGUGAAGACUAACUUCUGCGAAAGCAUUUGCCAAGGAUGUUUUCAUUAAUCAAGAACGAAGGUUAGGGUAUCGAAAACGAUUAGAUACCGUUGUAGUCUUAACAGUAAACUAUGCCGACUAGGGAUCGGACGGGAUUC
rnacentral:rRNA from 1 species